ACUCCUACGGGAGGCAGCAGUGGGAAUAUUGCACAAUGGGCGCAAGCCUGAUGCAGCCAUGCCGCGUGUGUGAAGAAGGCCUUCGGGUUGUAAAGCACUUUCAGUUGUGAGGAAAGGUUGAGUCGGCUAAUUAUUCAGGCUAGCUGUGACCGUUUAGCAACAGAAGAAGCACCGGCUAACUCCGUGCCAGCAGCCGCGGUAAUACGGAGGGUGCGAGCGUUAAUCGGAAUUACUGGGCGUAAAGCGCGUGUAGGUGGC
rnacentral:rRNA from 1 species